GGACAUGAAGGUGAUCUGGCCGCGGCAGCUGUCACCCCAUUGAUCUCCAGGGUUGAUUCAGCUGAUCUGGCUGGCUAGGUGGGUGUCCCCUUCCUCCCUCACUGCUCCAUGUGUAUACCUCCCCAAGACGUGCUCAGUAGAAGAGGAUGACCUUCCUCCCGGAAAGAGGAGGACACGCCUUCGGGCAAGGAUACACGAGUGGCUGCAGCCCCCUGCUAGAACCUCUACAUAAGCUCUCAAGAACAUGAGCUGCUCUUUCAGAGGACCCAGAUUUCGUUCUUAGCACCCACAUGGUGCCUCACAAGCGUCUGUAAUUCCAGAUCCUGGAGUUCCAGCGC
rnacentral:snRNA from 1 species